rnacentral:rRNA from 1 species
GAGUUUGAUCGUGGCUCAGAUUGAACGCUGGCGGCAUGCCUUACACAUGCAAGUCGAACGGCAGCAUGAUCUAGCUUGCUAGAUUGAUGGCGAGUGGCGAACGGGUGAGUAAUACAUCGGAACAUGCCCUGUAGUGGGGGAUAACUAGUCGAAAGAUUAGCUAAUACCGCAUACGACCUGAGGGUGAAAGUGGGGGACCGCAAGGCCUCAUGCUAUAGGAGCGGCCGAUGUCUGAUUAGCUAGUUGGUGGGGUAAAGGGCCCACCAAGGCGACGAUCAGUAGCUGGUCUGAGAGGACGAUCAGCCACACUGGGACUGAGACACGGCCCAGACUCCUACGGGAGGCAGCAGUGGGGAAUUUUGGACAAUGGGCGAAAGCCUGAUCCAGCAAUGCCGCGUGUGUGAAGAAGGCCUCGGUU